rnacentral:lncRNA from 1 species
AUGCCUAUAACUAACCUUCUCCUACUCAUUAUCCCCACUCUUAUUGCUAUAGCAUUCUUUACACACAUCAAACGCAAAAUUUUAGGCUAUAUACAACUAUGCAAAGGACUGAACAUUGUAGGUUCCUACGAGAUGCUUCAACCAUUCAGUGAUGCAAUAAAACUUUUCACCAAAGAACUGUUACAGCCCUCAGCAAGUACUAUUACCCUUAUAUUACUGCUCCAGUCCUUGCCCUUUCUAUCACUCUCCUCUUACAAACUCCCCUCCCUAUACCAAAUCCUCUAGUUAAUUUUAAUAUAGACCUCCUUUUUAUACUAGCCACAUCAAGCCUGACCAUCUAUUCUGUGAUCAAGAUGAGCACCUAAUUCAAAAUAUGCACUAAUGAGUCCAUUACAAGUUAUGGCCCAGACAAUGUCUUAUGAGGUCACCCUAGCCAUUAUCCUACUAUCAGUCCUACUGAGAAGCGGCUCGUUUAACUUACCAAACACUCGUCAUAAUGCAAGAAUUCGUAUGACUGCUCCUACCAUCAUGGCCCCUAGACAUAAUAUGAUUUAUCUCCACACUAACUAGCAGAAACUAACUGAGCCCCUUUUGAUCUAGCAGAAGGAUAGUCAGAGUUAGUCUCAGGCUUCAACAUUGAAUAUGCUGCAGGCUCAUUGGCCCUCUUUUUUAUAGCAGAAUACAUGAAUAUUAUCAUAAUAAAUGCCCUAACCUCUUACUUUCCUAGGAGCACGACACAUGAUAUAUUCACCAGAACUCUAUACCACAAAUUUCAUUACCAAAACCCUUCUUUUAACCACCCUAUUUUUUAUGAAUUUCAAUGGCAUACCCUCGAUUCCACUACAACUUACUCAUAUACCUUCUGUGAAAAAACUUCCUACCACUUACACUAGCAUUCUACAUAUAUCUCAAUGCCUGUCCUAAUUUCCAGCAUCCCACCCCAAACAUAA